GCUCUCCUGGCAGAUUGACAGGAAGCGUGUGUUUAUUUUUUUUAAAGGAUUCCUGCUAUGAGAAGCGCACUGCCCCCCUCCCCCCGCCGCCGUUCCUCCAAAUGAAGUUAGUGAGGAGUUCCAAGCAGUCCUCCUGCACCUCUGUGUCUUUGUUCACUCAAAACUUUUAACUUCAUUCUAAAUUUCGAGCCUCGAUGCUUAUUGACCAUAAAGCUAUAUUUGGCUAUGUAGUCAUUUUUUUUUUUUCCUAUUAAAAGUUCCUCUUCCUCUUUUAGUGAUUAGCGUGAGGUAAUGAUUCAGCUGCGACGCUUUGUGCAAUCGGUUUCUGAGAAAUUCAUAGUAACAGAGGGUUGAAUGCUCAUCGCUGCCUUCCCAUAGAGGGCGACAGAUUUUGGGAAACUUGAUUUUAUUUCUCAACCGGCAACAGCUGGUUUCCAAGGGCAGCGGGUUAUUGUUUACUUCUUGUCGUCAGAUGUUUUAACAGCUUUCCCCGCAGCGUUUGUGCACUUUUAAUGAGCGCCCUGAGAUAUUCGAGCGCUCUCUUACGAACCUUAAUGUGCUUUAAUGUGACACGGUGAUCAUUUGUAAGGACAAGAGGGGGAGCUUGAGGGAAAUAGAGUGACGCCAGAGUGCCUGAUGGCCUUUGUUAAAGACCAGCUGUGUCCACAGAGAAAAACUAUGGUGUCAUCAAUGUAAAGCAUCAAUUUGGUAUUCAAAGGCUCCCCAGGGUCCAUACUAGGAAUGACUGGAACAAAAAUGAACUAGUAAGCUGACUGAAUCUGGGAAAAAGAACCUGCCUCCCCAGUGCUCAACAGGAACACUCAACAUGCACACUAUUAUGGGAUGCUGACUUGGCUGUUUAAUGUGUGUACUGUAAUUUUACAGGUCGAUUACAAUAAACUGAGGCUGUGCAUACGUUUGUAUGCACAGCCUCCAAGGUGGCAGGCGAACCAAGUGACCUGUAGCUGAGGCAGCUUUCUUCUCUGUUGCUGUAGCACACUGUGGGACUCCGGUUAAACAUCUGUGGCUGGAAGGUUUGGCAAUGACACAUUUGGUUUUUUAGGCUAAGUGUGUGUGUGUGCAUGUGUGUGCAUGUGUGUGUGCCAUUCCCUGGCUUAUAUUUAUAGUAGUCUUAGCGAAUGAAAAUACUACACCAAAAAUGAGCAUUUGUUCAUAUUUAAAGGUUCAAAUGCACGAGUGCUGUCUACUGACAAACAAAUACAUCAACAACAACCAAAUUUUCAGUGUAGUUCUUCUUAGAAUUUGUUCUAAGUGGAUUAGACAAGGCAUCACAUGGCAGCGGAUGCUAGCUUUUAGCUAUUUUUUUAGGGGGAAAAAAAGAGACAGCUGUUUAAGUUUUCCCAGACUGAC